rnacentral:rRNA from 1 species
UAGGGAAUCUUCCACAAUGGACGCAAGUCUGAUGGAGCAACGCCGCGUGAGUGAAGAAGGUCUUCGGAUCGUAAAACUCUGUUGUUAGAGAAGAACAUGCGAGAGAGUAACUGUUCUUGUAUUGACGGUAUCUAACCAGAAAGCCACGGCUAACUACGCGCCAG